rnacentral:rRNA from 1 species
CCUACGGGAGGCAGCAGUGAGGAAUAUUGGUCAAUGGGCGAGAGCCUGAACCAGCCAAGUCGCGUGAGGGAAGACGGUCCUAUGGAUUGUAAACCUCUUUUGCCGGGGAGCAAAAAGCGGUACGUGUACCGCAUCGCGAGUACCCGGAGAAAAAGCAUCGGCUAACUCCGUGCCAGCAGCCGCGGUAAUACGGAGGAUGCGAGCGUUAUCCGGAUUUAUUGGGUUUAAAGGGUGCGUAGGCGGAUUUUUAAGUCAGCGGUAAAAUGUCCGGGCUCAACCCGGGCCGGCCGUUGAAACUGGGGAUCUUGAGUGGGCGAGAAGUAUGCGGAAUGCGUGGUGUAGCGGUGAAAGGCAUAGAUAUCACGCAGAACUCCGAUUGCGAAGGCAGCAUACCGGCGCCCGACUGACGCUGAGGCACGAAAGCGUGGGGAUCGAACAGGAUUAGAUACCCCUGUAGUC